rnacentral:rRNA from 1 species
AUCAAUAGCGGAGGAAAAGAAACCAACAGGGAUUGCCUUAGUAGCGGCGAGUGAAGCGGCAAUAGCUCAAAUUUGAAAUCUGGCACUUUCAGUGUCCGAGUUGUAAUUUGAAGAAGGUAUCUUUGGGUCUAGCUCUUGUCUAUGUUUCUUGGAACAGAACGUCACAGAGGGUGAGAAUCCCGUGCGAUGAGAUGUCUAGAUCUAUGUAAAGUUCCUUCGAAGAGUCGAGUUGUUUGGGAAUGCAGCUCUAAGUGGGUGGUAAAUUCCAUCUAAAGCUAAAUAUUGGCGAGAGACCGAUAGCGAACAAGUACAGUGAUGGAAAGAUGAAAAGAACUUUGAAAAGAGAGUGAAAAAGUACGUGAAAUUGUUGAAAGGGAAGGGCUUGAGAUCAGACUUGGUAUUUUGUAUGUUACUCUCUCGGGGGUGGCCUCUACAGUUUACCGGGCCAGCAUCAGUUUGAGCGGUAGGAGAAUUGCGUAGGAAUGUGGCUCGGCCUCGGUCGAGUGUUAUAGCCUUCGUCGAUACUGCCAGCUUAGACUGAGGACUGCGGCUUCGGCCUAGGAUG